UUUUCCUUAGCAACAAAGUUCUUACCAACAUAGAAUCUGAGAGUGCCUGACUAUACAAUCAUUAAUAUUUAGUUGGCAUUACUACCUAAAAGUUCUGCAGUUCUGUGAAUUGUUUAUUUAUGAGCAAUGCUCAUUUUUAAAUUUGAGAAUUAACAUUUAUUUUUGUGAAUCUCUGUACCAGAUGGACAGAAGUGGUAGGUACAGUUCUGUUUUUAGGCUGAGAACAGAUGUCGCACUGGGGGUGUGA
rnacentral:lncRNA from 12 species